CUUAUGCGUUGUUGGGUAGGGGAGCGUUCUGUAAGCCUGCGAAGGUGUACUGUGAGGUAUGCUGGAGGUAUCAGAAGUGCGAAUGCUGACAUAAGUAACGAUAAAGCGGGUGAAAAGCCCGCUCGCCGGAAGACCAAGGGUUCCUGUCCAACGUUAAUCGGGGCAGGGUGAGUCGACCCCUAAGGCGAGGCCGAAAGGCGUAGUCGAUGGGAAACAGGUUAAUAUUCCUGUACUUGGUGUUACUGCGAAGGGGGGACGGAGAAGGCUAUGUUGGCCGGGCGACGGUUGUCCCGGUUUAAGCGUGUAGGCUGGUUUUCCAGGCAAAUCCGGAAAAUCAAGGCUGAGGCGUGAUGACGAGGCACUACGGUGCUGAAGCAACAAAUGCCCUGCUUCCAGGAAAAGCCUCUAAGCAUCAGGUAACAUCAAAUCGUACCCCAAACCGACACAGGUGGUCAGGUAGAGAAUACCAAGGCGCUUGAGAGAACUCGGGUGAAGGAACUAGGCAAAAUGGUGCCGUAACUUCGGGAGAAGGCACGCUGAUACGUAGGUGAAGUCCCUUGCGG
rnacentral:rRNA from 1 species